rnacentral:lncRNA from 1 species
CCACAAUCCAUUUACCUUUCAAAUCUAUUUACCCAACCCAAUUUAUUUAUCUAAUAUUCACUAUCCAAUUUAUUUAUCUAAUAUUCCCAAAAUUCAAUGAAAAUUCCCAAAAUCUGCUCGACGCCUCUGCUCAUCAGUCCACAGUCCGACAAUCGUCGCCACUCACCUGAGUGUCAUCUUCUUCAGGUCAGUCACCUCCUUCGGCUCCGACCACCGAUUCCUAAAUUUUUCAUAUUAUUUACUUUGUUGGAGCACUUGAAGACAUUACCAAUCUUGUAGUUAUGAAACCCUUUUUGCCGACUGUUUUCUAGAAUAUAAUAUCAUUGAGUUUAUCCAGGUUUGUAUAGAGUUCCCAACUGAUUAUUACAAAUGUGUUUUUCUAGAAUAGAAUUUUUUAUUUAUUAUUAUUUAUUUUUCAGCUUAUGUGGGUCUGUGAGCUGUUGAAAAUUUUCUUUUUUGUUCUAUUUCUUUACAAAUUAAUUAGAGAUAAAGAGCAUUGAAUCUUGUCAGAUACCAAUAUAUCUGAGUGGGUGUGGUGGGUGUUGGUUGGGAGUGCGGGGGUGGGAAGUGGGCGAGGAAUUAAUAUCUAUCUCUCUCUUUUUCUCCUCAUUUUUUUAUUUCUUUUUAUUUAUUCCAUGUUUUGUUCAGCUAAAGCCUAAACAUAAUUGAUUAAAAUUAGUAAACAAUUAACCGUAUAUUUUAUGGAUUCACAACUUUUUAAUCCUACAUUCUAUCAAUUUUAAUAAAAAAAUAUACUAGAAAUCAGAUGCUUAAAUCAUCAACGACUUAAUCAAUUUAAUUGUUUUAUGUAGAAAAACAUAAGUUUGUUCAUUUUAAAAAUGAUGAAACGGUUGAUUCUUGGUCACUUAACAGUCAUUUUGGAUAGAAAUCAUCUAGAGGUCCUUCGAACACAUAUUUAUUUAUUAAAAGGUUUGAAAUGUAUCAGCUACAAUUUUUUAGGUGUUAAACUGUCCUUUUUUAUUUAUUAUUAUUUAUUUAUUUUUUCAGCUUAUGUGGGUCUGUGUCCAAUAUUAUUUUUAUGGAAUGUUAGGUUAGUAGGUCUAUGUGGAUUUAUGUAGUGUUUAGUUUACUGAUUAGUGAUUAGAGCCCAAUGUAGUUUUCGAGAAUAGAUUUUUGUUAGUUCCAUGUAGAGCUGUAUAGUGUUUCUUAGAGAUUGUGGCCAAUAUUGUUUGCCGAUUUUGAUGGAUGAUCUCAGGCCUCAGCAUGAACUUUUCUUUACUUCUCCACAUCUUCAUAAGUUGUAACUCAAGCUAGUUAUUAAAUCUGAUAAUCCAAAAGAAAACAACCAUGACAUGAGAUUUUUCAAGCUGACUUGCCCCUUCACUUUGCUAACAUUGAAACCAUAAACUUAUCCACAUGGAAGAGCAGCUGCGAAAUAACUCUCCAGCAGCUGCAAGUCGCACAUUUUCAGUUUUACAUACUAGUUUUCAUUGAGUUAUUAUGAUUUAAAAUUACAUUUCAAUUCAUAAGAUUGAAUUCUAUUCAUUUACUUCAAAAUAAAAAUUGUAUAGGCUUUAUGUUUUGUAAUUGAUUCAAUUGUGUUUGGAGUAAAAGGUGAAAUUGGAUCGUUCUUCUUUUGGCUUUUGUGUAAAGCUAUUAUCAUAAAUUUAGUUGAAUAGAGCAAAUUAUUAUUGUCUAUAGACUGGAAUAUGAUGAUAAUAAUUUCACAAGACACUUGCAAAUUAAGCAUUUGACUAAAUCAAUAAUUCAAUAGUGAUGCCAUUUACAUCAUCUGCAGGAUAUUCCAGUGAGCUAUAUUAAGCAUCGAUAAUGGGCUCUAGAGUUUGGUUCAAGAAUAUAAUGAGCAAAAAGAAAGUGAGAGGUGACAGAGCUCAAAAAUUGAAGGUUUGCUGUUCUUAAAUAUUCUUAAUUCCCUUAUCACUAGAUCUUAGUCUUGGCAAUCUUAGACAUCAUAUAUAAUUUUAUAUAAAUUUUUGUUUCAAACUCGUGAGUUGUGACGAGAUCAUUCUCAACGGUGUAAUUCCACAAUUAUCGUCAAAAUUCCACUUCUCAGGUAAGCAAUGGCUUGCCCUAACUUGUUAUUAAAGAGAUUGAAAAUGUUUGAAGUCUUGUCGGCUUGUAUAAUUGCAGCUUGGUUGGCUUAUAUGAUUGGUUAUUGUGGGAUGAACAAUUAUACAGGCGCACAUAGUAACUGUAUUGAAAAUUGUAAUUGUGUGAUGAUUGAGAUAUUUUGUAAUUGUUUUUUAGGUUAAUCAUUGGACAUUAUACGCCAUUGAAUUUUGUAUUUAUAUAAAUCGUUUCUAUAAUAUAUUUGGUUGUUGUUUUAAAGUUAAUUUUUUAAGUUAGCAAUGGAUCGCAUAAUACACCGUUGAAUUUUGUUUUUACAUUGCUUUCGCUGGGGGACCUAAUUUACACACUUCGCCUCAGGGCCCAACAAUCACAGGACCGGCUCUGAUUCCAUGAAAGACAUUGUCAAACCAAUUGGUGCGGCGGUUGAUUCUGAUAAAGAUGAAUUAGAGGCAGAACUUGAAGACUAGAAGGCAACCUGUACGCCCAACUGCUUGCAAGAAUACAGAAGAUGAAGAUGAGCUUGAUGCAUUGCAGGCAGAAAUGGCUCAGUGGUUGCUACAAAGAAGAAAAAAUGAUUCUAGUGAGGAAUUAGAAUCUAGAACACCAGAAUAUGAAGCACCGAAGACAAACCAUGUUGUUGGUGUUGAAACCUAUCCUUGAGGUCAUUCCCAAUGGCAGUCAAACUGGUGGAUGAUCUGAAGCCAAACUAUCUUUGUAGCCAGUAAAAUGCUGAGAUGAUAGCAAUAGUAGGAAGCAAUUAUGCUCUGAUACCAUAUUAAAUUCUUGAAUUCAAACAAUGUUGAAACCUGGCAUGAUUGCAGGAACUAAAAGGCCUCAUCAUUGAAGCAAGAAAUACUCCAUGAAAGGAAGAAAACAAACCUCCAUGAAUGGAGGGAUUGGAAUACAAUACAAUGAACUAAAAUGUAUACAAAGUCUUGUAUUUAUAUACACAAAUGUGGGUAGCUAACUAGAAUAACUAACAUCUCACAACUGACUAAUUAAACUAACUAGUAACUAAUCGAUCAACAAAUUAACUAAUUUUUGAAUCUGCUGGAACAUAUAUUCUAACAA